rnacentral:tRNA from 1 species
GGAAGUGUGGCCGAGUGGUUUAAGGCUCCGGUCUUGAAAACCGGCGAGGGCUUUGUCCUCCGUGAGUUCGAAUCUCACCGCUUCCG